rnacentral:tRNA from 1 species
GAACUAGCUCAGUUGUUUAGAGCGUGGUGCUGAUAAUGCCAAGGUUGUGGGUUCUAUCCCCAUAUGGGCCA